UACGUAGGGGGCAAGCGUUGUCCGGAUUUAUUGGGCGUAAAGAGCGUGUAGGCGGUUUGGUAGGUCCACUGUGAAAACUCGAGGCUCAACCUCGAGACGCCGGUGGAAACCAUCAGGCUAGAGUCCGGAAGAGGAGAGUGGAAUUCCUGGUGUAGCGGUGAAAUGCGCAGAUAUCAGGAAGAACACCCGUGGCUAAGGCGGCUCUCUAGUACGGUACUGACGCUGAGACGCGAAAGCGUGGGGAGCGAACAGG
rnacentral:rRNA from 1 species